rnacentral:sRNA from 1 species
AAAGAGGUUGUAGGUCGCCUUUAGGCGGCAGCGCAUAUGCGUGGGAUCCUACAACCUUAUUUUUUU